rnacentral:rRNA from 1 species
GAUGAACGCUGGCGGCGUGCUUAACACAUGCAAGUCGAACGAGGAAUGCUGAUGAAGUUUUCGGAUGGAGACAAAGAUGUAUGUUUUAGCGGCGGACGGGUGAGUAACGCGUGAGCAACCUGUCCUUCACGAGGGGGAUAACACAGCGAAAGUUGUACUAAUACCGCAUAAGACCACGGGGCUGCAUGGCCCAGGGGUCAAAGGAGCAAUCCGGUGAAGGGUGGGCUCGCGUCCGAUUAGAUAGUUGGUGAGGUAACGGCCCACCAAGUCGACGAUCGGUAGCCGACCUGAGAGGGUGAUCGGCCACAUUGGGACUGAGACACGGCCCAAACUCC